AGUGGCGCACGGGUGAGUAACACGUGAAUUAUCUACCUCCGAGUGGGGAAUAACCUANAGAAAUCUGGGCUAAUACCGCAUAACACUUACGAGUCAAAGCAGCAAUGCGCUUGGAGAGGAGUUCGCGGCAGAUUAGCUAGUUGGCGGGGUAAUGGCCCACCAAGGCGAUGAUCUGUAUCCGGCCUGAGAGGGCGCACGGACACACUGGAACUGAAACACGGUCCAGACUCCUACGGGAGGCAGCAGUGGGGAAUAUCGGACAAUGGGCGAAAGCCUGGUCCAGCAAUGCCGCGUGAGUGAUGAAGGCCUUAGGGUUGUAAAGCUCUUUCGGGUGGGACGAUGAUGACGGUACCACCAGAAGAAGCCCCGGCUAACUUCGUGCCAGCAGCCGCGGUAAU
rnacentral:rRNA from 1 species